rnacentral:rRNA from 1 species
UACGUAGGGUGCGAGCGUUAAUCGGAAUUACUGGGCGUAAAGCGUGCGCAGGCGGUUACUUAAGUCAGGUGUGAAAGCCCCGGGCUCAACCUGGGAAUUGCAUUUGAGACUGCAUAGCUAGGGUGCGGAAGAGGGAAGCGGAAUUUCCGGUGUAGCGGUGAAAUGCGUAGAUAUCGGAAGGAACACCAGUGGCGAAAGCGGCUUCCUGGUCCAGCACCGACGUUCAGGCACGAAAGCGUGGGGAGCAAACAGG